rnacentral:lncRNA from 1 species
AAGCUGAUCCCAGAACAUGACUUUACAUCUGGAGCAAGCAGCCCCACCCCACCUCAGGUAGCACUACGUGAUGGUCGUCUCCUGGAGGGUUAGGCCCCUUCAGCAACAAGACAGUGAGCUGGACAAGUAUAUGUCCCCUGAAGACAGGAAGAUCCCCAAGGAGGACCCUCAGAGGGCUGAGAGAUGCAUGCGGCCUCCUUCCUUUUCUCAUAUUCACCAACCAGACAAGUUGCCUUUCUCACAUCUGGCCCCCUGGAAAAAGACUCUAAGAUGGAGGUUUACCUACAGAAGAACGGCGGCUGGCACACAGUCCAUGCUCCACCAACACUGUCAACUGAAGGGAUGAGCAUCAGAGUUGGACAUGAGUGGAAGUGAAUAUUAACUGAAAUCCAGUAAGUUCAUAAAUAGAGGGGUCAUAGAGGCAGCGACAGACCACAGUGUUCCUAGGAUGAAAAAGAUGAGGAGCUGAAGAGAUGGUGCUUAUAUAUCGGAUAAAACCAAGAGCUGACAAGUGGAAGGCUGAGGUCAGCUGCUACAAUGAAAAGUCACGCUAUCUCACCUACAGCCCAUUUCUGAGUCAAGUCUCAUCCCAGAGCCCAUUGACUGAAGGAGAGACCAUGUUCUCUAGAGGAGAGAGUCUGGAACCAAAUCAAGUAAAGAGCUCUGGAGCCAGAGGACCUCCAGGAUUGGUGAAACAGCUCUGCAGCACCAUCGAGGCCCAGGGUCAUCUGCCGUCCACAGCAAGCCUGGGCAUGUUGAUUUCUUCCCUCCGUUUGUCCUCUUCAUGCUCACAAAACCACUGCCAUGUCUCUAGGGCCUCACAUCCUUGCAAGUUUUGCCUCAAGUACCUUUUCUCUUUGGACAACUCUGUUGCCUGAAAUAUAUAAAAAUCAAGUCUGGUUGGCAAGGAAAAUGGGGUGAAUGAUUGCUGGAUAGGCAUCCAGUUCUCCCUGCUUUAACCAAUGUGCCUAGAUUAUGUCCUUAUCUCCAAGUAGUUUUUGUUGCCUAGAGGUCUGGAGCAUCUAAUCUUUGUGGAAAGGGGACAAGGACAGUGAAAAUGAGAAUGUUUUUCAUGUAGUUAAGGUGAUUAAGGCCAUAGAGAUAUAUUUGAAACAAAAUCAUAAUUUUUCUUCCAAAGUGGUACCGAAU